rnacentral:lncRNA from 1 species
UUUGAGUCUUCUCAUAAUGCCAGAAUUAUUGUUUUGCACAGUCAUAUAACAGCAGAUUGCAUUGACACAGAAAUAAACUCACUUUGUUAAAAUUGCUUGUUUCCUAGGUAACAAAUGAAAUCUGAUGAAGCUCUCACUGGUGGGAACCUUCCGGGAUCUGACCAUGUACCAUCUCCUCCAUCCAUAGGUCUGAACAUUACCCCUUGCCUUUCACAGCUGACAAAGCUGUGUGAAGGAGUGUCACAGCAACAGCAGAACUGUCAAGAAAGGACCAAGGAAAGAAGAAGGGGCAUUAUGUACCUAGAGAAAGAGUUCCCAAGAUUGAGCCUAAAUCUGCCAUCUUCCCUGGAGUCUGCCCAAACCAAGGAAAAUAAAGUCACAACUUCUGGUCCUUCACAUGUGAGCGAAGCCAUCUUGGAUUAUUGGCCCCAGUGGAGCUUCCUGAUGGGAGGUGAGAGCAUCACCUACUCCAGGUGCGAUCAGUAGAAGAACCACUUAGCUGAGCCCACCUCAGGUUGUAGAACACUGAGCAAAUAAAUGGCUGGUAGUCAAGCAAAGCUCACUAAAUGCCCUUUAUGCCUAACACACAUAGGCCUUAGGGCUAUGAAGUUUUGGAAUAUUUUAUAUAGCAAUGAAUAACUGAAAUAGGAGGAGAGAGAACUCACAGUGAGUAAGGGCCAGGGAUUUAGCUCAGUGGUUCCGCCACCUGCCUCAAAAGCGCAAGGUCCCAAGUUCAGUCCCUGGUACCAGAAAGAAAAAGAACUCACAGUGAGUAAAUACCUGUUGUGUUCCGGGCCCCAUGCUGGUGCUUUUACAUUUCACCUGAUCCUCAUGACACUUUGGAUUGUGAUUCCUCUUUACAGGAGAGGCUGCAGUGGUUCUGAGGGGCAGGUUGGGUCUCCCUGCUCUCCAGCCAAUAACGCAGAGACACAUUUUGAAUCUGCCAGGCAUUGAGUCUGUGUGAUUCCAGGAGCUGCAGGAUAUCACCACGCUGAAGCAGGAACAGACCCAGGGCAGGAUUCUGGCAAGAAAGUUGCAUGGAAACAAGCUCUGGAGUAGGAGAGACUGGAGUUCAAGUGCUAGUCCUGCCUCUUACUGAUCAGUGAUGUUGGGCAAGCUGAUUAACGUUUGGAGCCUCGGUUUCUCAUUUGUCUGUGAAAUGAGAUGCGGAGAGGCCUAAAUGCGAUGAUGACUGUGACACAAUCAACAAGGUACCAAGCCUAGGACAAGGCUUAUAAAGAUUAGCUUUUAUUUUAUUAAUUUAUUUUGUGAACAAAUGAAGGCAAAUGUUGUUUCUUUGAUGUCCCCUGCCUUUUCCUCUGUCCUUUCUCUAGCAAGUGCAUGUGUGGGUCCUUCCACUCUCCCUACCGUCUACCACUUUGUUGUCCUCCUAUCUGUCCCCCUUUUUUCUCUGAUGUUCCUACAGUCCUUCCUCUUUCCCUUGAAUUGAGGCUGAGCAGAGGGGGAGAUCAAAGAGAACAAAAGCAGACGGACAUCAGUGG